rnacentral:rRNA from 1 species
UGAUCCUGGCUCAGAACGAACGCUGGCGGCACGCCUAACACAUGCAAGUCGAGCGCUCACUUCGGUGGGAGCGGCGGACGGGUUAGUAACGCGUGGGAACAUACCCUUUACUACGGAAUAGCCUUUGGAAACGAAGAGUAAUACCGUAUACGCCCUACGGGGGAAAGAUUUAUCGGUAAAGGAUUGGCCCGCGUUAGAUUAGAUAGUUGGUGGGGUAACGGCCUACCAAGUCUACGAUCUAUAGCUGGUUUGAGAGGAUGAUCAGCAACACUGGGACUGAGACACGGCCCAGACUCCUACGGGAGGCAGCAGUGGGGAAUCUUAGACAAUGGGGGAAACCCUGAUCUAGCGAUGCCGCGUGUGUGACGAAGGCCCUAGGGUCGUAAAGCACUUUCGCCAGAGAUGAUAAUGACAGUAUCUGGUAAAGAAACCCCGGCUAACUCCGUGCCAGCAGCCGCGGUAAUACGGAGGGGGUUAGCGUUGUUCGGAAUUACUGGGCGUAAAGCGUACGUAGGCGGAUUAGUAAGUUAGAGGUGAAAUCCCAGGGCUCAACCCUGGAACUGCCUUUAAUACUGCUAGUCUAGAGUUCGAGAGAGGUGAGUGGAAUUCCAAGUGUAGAGGUGAAAUUCGUAGAUAUUUGGAGGAACACCAGUGGCGAAGGCGGCUCACUGGCUCGAUACUGACGCUGAGGUACGAAAGUGUGGGGAGCAAACAGGAUUAGAUACCCUGGUAGU